rnacentral:rRNA from 1 species
AACGAACGCUGGCGGCAUGCCUAACACAUGCAAGUCGAACGAGACCUUCGGGUCUAGUGGCGCACGGGUGCGUAACGCGUGGGAACCUGCCCUUAGGUUCGGCAUAACUCCCCGAAAGGGGUGCUAAUAACGGAUAAUGUCUUCGGACCAAAGAUUUAUCGCCUUUGGAUGGGCCCGCGUUGGAUUAGCUAGUUGGUAGGGUAAAAGCCUACAACGGCGACGAUCCAUAGCUGGUCUGAGAGGAGGAUCAGCCACACUGGGACUGAGACACGGCCCAGACUCCUACGGGAGGCAGCAGUGGGGAAUAUUGGACAAUGGGCGAGAGGCUGAUCCAGCAAGGCCGCGUGAGUGAUGAAGGCGUUAGGGUUGUAAAGCUCUUUUACCCGGGAUGAUAAUGACAGUACCGGGAGAAUAAGCUCCGGCUAACUACGUG